GGAAUCUUCCACAAUGGGCGCAAGCCUGAUGGAGCAACACCGCGUGAGUGAAGAAGGGCUUCGGCUCGUAAAGCUCUGUUGUUAAAGAAGAACACGUAUGAGAGUAACUGUUCAUACGUUGACGGUAUUUAACCAGAAAGUCACGGCUAACUACGUGCCAG
rnacentral:rRNA from 1 species